rnacentral:rRNA from 1 species
AGCGAACGUUUGCGGCGGGCCUAACACAUGCAAGUCGAACGGGCAGUCCCUUCGGGGGCUGUCAGUGGCGCACGGGUGCGUAACACGUAGGUAAUCAACCCUCGGGUUCGGGAUAACACUUCGAAAGGGGUGCUAAUACCGGAUGCGACGAGCGUCUCCUCGGAGAUGCACGGGAAAGAUCCGCAAGGGUCGCCCGAGGACGAGCCUGCGGCCCAUCAGCUUGUUGGUGAGGUAAUGGCUCACCAAGGCUAAGACGGGUAGCUGGUCUGAGAGGAUGAUCAGUCACACUGGAACUGAGACACGGUCCAGACUCCUACGGGAGGCAGCAGUGGGGAAGUAUUGCGCAAUAGGGCGGAAAGACCUGACGCAGCCACGCCGCGUGAGCGAUGAAGGACC